GACAGUGUGGAUUUGUACCUCAUGCUGCACAACUUUACAUGAAACAUGAUCCUUAUCACACGGAGAUGCUCAGUCUACAUCAAUCAAUGGAUCAUGCAAUGUUCAUACUAAGAGAGCAAUUUGGUUAAGCCAACGUAUUUUCUAGUCAAAACAUUUCAAGCAUUGUUCCAAAUUGAUUAAGUAGAGGACAAUAUCGAUAUAUAUUAGUAUUUAGCCUACGCUGAUUCACUACACAACAGAUCCCACACCCAUUUUUAACCCAUCAAGUUUUGAACAUGGAAUGAAUGAGAUAGUUUGUAGGAACCAGCAAAGGUAAAGCCUAAAUAGCUACCUAGCAUGUUGCUGUCAUUGAACCUGCAUUUGUGGAAUCUGAACCAAUGGAAAUCACUCUAGGUGAACUCUGGCAUGGUGAAAUUGUAACACAAGUUUCUUCAUUUGAGCCUGGAGUUCUUUGUCGAUGCCUAGAGACCUUUAUUCCAUACAUUGUGUUAGUUGGCACAGCACAGAACCCAUGGUGGUUAUAUGUUGGCACGUGAAAGUUGUGCAUGCCAUUGCUGUCUCUAAAGCUUUCCAGGCCGAAUUCACAUCCAACGCUCCUCGAAUCAUUUGAUACAAAAUCGUUGUUAAAUCCCAUUCUGGAACUCAGGGUUCACCCACUGCACUAUGUGGACAAGAUCAUCAAUUUCUAUGAUUGCAGGUUGGCCAGUAAAACUCUCAAAAUCAAUUUUUUUCAUUCUACCUUCGACAAUUAUAGUACCUGCAGACCAAAAAAAAGUAAUAUCAAACCACUCACUGUUCAUGCAUUUGUAUUUAUAACAUGAUAAAAAAAAUCUAAUAGAACGCAGAAACUUGAACAUACUCUAGAUCAAGAUAACCCACUCUGCCCAUGACCGACGUUACCACACAAGUCUCAUUAUCACUGAAAACAACCCUGGACAGACCGAAAUCUUCUAUUUACGCGUCCAAGCUUUUAUUGCACUGCGCUUGCUCCUCUCUUAAUGCAAUUCUCCUACUGGAUUCCCUUCUUAAGUGAGCUGAAAUACAAAUCCAAUUUAUCUGUGUUUAAAGUAUUCUAGAUAACUCGACCUGAUUUUAUUCAAGGAUGAAAGAUUGAAGAAAGAAGUUACAUAUUGACUAAACAGAUUACCUUCUAAAAAAUUGGUCUAAGAAAACUGUGUUAGUUGAGAGAACCUGCACACAGUGAGAAGAAACACAACCUUGUACAAAAGUGUAUCUCAACAUAUGGAAAUCACUCUAGGUGAACUCUGGCAUGGUGAAAUCGUAACACGAGUUUCUUCAUUUGAGCCUGGCGUUCUUUCUCGACACUUAGACACCUUCAUUCCAAACACUUCCAAACGAGAUAGAGAGUGCAGCCCCUUGGGCAAAUAUUGUAAUUUCCCACAUUUAUAUAAUUCCAAAUGAGAUAGAGAUUGCAAGCUGGAGACAUUGUGAUCCGGCAGAGAUAUCAAAUUGGAGCAUUCACUGACACGCAAAUCGGUAGACUUAUUAAUCCAUCACAUCCCCUAAUUAUCAACUCAGUGAGGGAGGUGGGAAUAGCCUCUAGAUUAGGGUAAAAAUAUAUAUCCAUCUUCUGAAGAGAGACGGGGGUUUGUAGCCCGUGACCCGACAAAGUCCUCAAAUUUGGACAAUUACAGAUCUGCAGUGUGCAAAGACUAGUUCAAGAAUGGAGCCCACGUAUACUUGCGAAUCCAUCGCAGUGUUCAAUAGACAAUCAGCGGAGGGAUGUGCAACCCUUUAAAGACAAGUCCCCCUCGAGAGUAGUGCAUCUCUCAAAAACCAGAUCAUGAAGUGAGGCAGACUCUGAAGUACGUCUUAGCUUUGGGCAAUCAAUUAUUUUCAACUCCUGAAGAGAUUGGGAUGGUGAAAUUUGGAAGGAUUCUAGAUUGCCGCAAUCCUCAAUUUCCACCGUCUCAAGUGAGGGGCAAUAUUCUAACCCACAACACAAGCUCGACAAUUUCUCACAGCUCCUAAUUCUCAAUUGAUGGAGAUUGGUUACUCGACAAUUUCUCAUCAUUCAAGAUGCAAAUUUAGUACCCUUGAAUUCCUCAAUCGUCAAGCUUUCUAAGUUGGGGUGCGGUUGGAAUCCUUCAAGAAUAUCCUCGUCAAGAAAAUUGCCAUUUCUUUCUUUAGGAGGGACCCGCCCCCAUUUUAAUAUCAAUUUUCGUAGGUUUGCCUUUUCCACUAAUUUUGAUUUCACUGCUUCUUCCUUGUCUCUCACAUAUUCUAAUGCUCCAAUAACUAGUUCCCCUUUCAAUUCAUUUAACCUGCCCAACUCAUCAAUUCUAUGACGCCUUGCUCUUUCCAAUUUAAAUGAAGGUAGCGUCUGCAGAUGAGUCAAUCUUGUCAUCCCAAAUGGAACUUCCACAUCCUCGUCGAAAUAAACAUGUCUGAAGUUGAUCAAAUUUUCCAUUUCCUUAGGAAACGUCUUAAGACUAUAUGUUCUUGACAUUUUUAACGUCUGAAGAUUAUAGAGCUUGCCAAUAGAUUUUGGGAGUUUUUUUACUUUUGUCCUUUAAAUGUUGAGAUACCUUAAUCGUUUCAACUUUCCAAUUGAAUUGGGCAACUCCUCAAUUUCAACAUGGAAAAAAUUCAACAUCUGUAAACCUUUAAACCUUUGAAAGAUGUUUUAACGAAAUAUUCCCGGUACUAUUCACUUUUGACGAAAAAUCACAUUUUUACCGUUCCUUGAUAUUGUUCACUACACCUUUAUUUGUCAUUUUUCAUUCAAACUAUUUUUUUUUUUUAACUUUUCAUUAGUUUUCCUUUGAAAAAUAAAUAAAUAAAUAUGGCAUCAGUCAUACAAAGUCAAGCUUUCUAAACCUCUUUUAUGGACAGAUACGGAUUUCACGGUUCGAAGCUCAAUCAACAAGUAAUAUGGACCACUCAAAUUGAAUUCAAUAGUACUAAUUAACUCAUUUGCUGCCUCACCUUACAUAAUCUAAAGACUUCAAUGUCUCUUUCACACAAAGGGCCCAAAUUUUCUGGUCCUUAAGCUCUGAAUACUAAUGUCAGGAGGGGAUCCAAAUUCCUGUUUAUUAUCCAUCUGUCAAAUUGUCAACUGUUUGCUUUAGCUUGUUGUCCUAGUUUCUCUCUUCCUCAUCCUCCUCUAGCUAGCUUUUGGACUCCGGCAUCCGAAUCACAUGUCCAUGCGGCCCUAGACACAUUAAAGCUUACCUACUCAAUGUAAUGACUCCAUUCCCCUCUCCAACUACCUUCAUGGCCCAACACCUCCAGAGGUUUCAAACGAAAGAAUUUCUAGGUUCUUGUGUCCGAAACCCCAGCUAAGUUUAAUAGACGAGGGGUGGGAACAUAAUAUCUUGUAUCGUGGGCCUCACAAUCAUGGAGAUAUAGUGCUUUUUAGUGUCCAAGCCAUAUGAAUUAGGUGGUCCGGUUGCUCUAAACUAGAAUUUUAUCCUCAAUUUGACAAAUUAACAAUGGCUAAUUGGCUAUGCGUCUCCCUCUCUAUGUUGUUAAUAGUGUCGAUAUUGUCCCAUCACAUCAAUUGAAGAAAAACCCCUAUCAGGAAUAAUAUGUAUUAACAAAACAUGAUGCUUUAUUUGAGAAUUUAUUUGAGAAUCAUAGCCUUUGGAUGAGUUCACGAUAGAUAAAUACCACAAAGUAUAGAUAGUCAAAGUUCAAACAUUAUUGACGGAUGGUGAAUGUGAACGAUAAUUCAAGAGUAGUGAGAAAGAUGAUUGGUAUUAAGUCUUUGGUCACUAUUAUCUUGAAAGUUGAUGACCAAAAUGACAACUGCCUCCUUCUUUUGGCUGCAACAGCAGAAAUAGGAUGCUUACAUGGAACCUGCAUUUGUGGAAUAUGAACAUCUGGAAAUUACUCCGGGUGAACUCGUAACACGAGUUUCUUCAUUUGAGCAUGGAGCUCUUUCUCGAUGCCUAGAUGUACACCUCCAUUUCCAAACACUCUGUUAACGCACAGCACAAAACUCUCUGCUGAGAGGUGGAAGUUGUGCAUGCAAUUGCUGUCUCUAAUGGUUUCCAGAACGAAUUCACGUCAAACUCUCCUCAAAUCUUUCGAUCUCAAAACCCCGUUCUGGAACUCAGGAAUCAGGAUUCACCAACUCCACUAUGUAGAGAAGAUCAUCAUUUUCUAUGAUUGCAAGUUGGCCAGUAAAACUCUAAACAUCAAUUUUUUUCAGUCAACCUUUGAUAAUUAUAGUACCUGCAGAUCAAAUAAAGUAAUCAUAGAUCAUUCACUGCUCAUAGAUUUGUUUGUUUUUUUAAAUCAAAAUUCUAAGAACACGAAAUCUGAACAUACUCAAGAUCAAGAUACCCCGCUGUACUCAUGGCCGAUGUCACCACGAGUCUCACUGUCACUGGGAAAUGCCAUGGACAGACCGAAAUCUGCUAUUUUUGCUCCAAGUUUUCACUUAAGAGAAUGUUGGCAGUAUUUACAUCUCUAUGCACAGUACGUGGAUUGCACCUUUAUGCAAGUAAAUAGUCCUGUGAGCCAAAUUUCACAAUAUACAUAUGUUGAAUUAGGCAUAUGAACUUGCACAAUUAUAUUAGCGUACGAAAUAACACAACGCACCAACCUAUAGGCAAUAUCUAGUGUUAUCCGAAGUCUCAUUUCCCAAGUCACAUGUGAGCUUCUAUCUGCAUGCAGCCAUUGACGUGACACUUCAAUAUUUUGAAACCCUCUGAUGGAGGACAAUGCUUAUAAAAUAUAGAUCUACAUACCUGAGAGAUAUUCUUUUAGGUUUCCUUUAGGAAUGUACUCGUAUGUAAUAUAAGUACCAAGUAAUCGGUAUCAACACAGUAUCCAAUAAAUGAGGCCAAGUUUCUAUGAUGUAUUCUCAUCAGGAGCUCAACCUGCAGCGACAAGGAACUCAUCAAUCUCUAACCAACGAGACAAGGCACUUGCAAUUCCAAGGAAUUAAAAUCCUAACUGUCAAACCUCUGUUUGGAAUCCCCUAGCUCCUUGAGUUGACGAUGGAGAAAGUAUUUUAACCGCAACUUGAGUGCCAUCUUCCAAGUAGCCAUGGUAUACAAUCCCAAAUCCUCAUUUCCCAAUUUCAGUUUGAAAGUUUUCGGUGAUUUUUAAAACCUCAUCACAAGUAAACUGGGACUUCAUUGAUGCUACCGGUGUGCUACAGGUGUUUUGUUAUGUUUUUCUCCAUCUGCAGCUUAAGGACAAAAAGUUAUGAGUUCAGACUAACUGGAUAGGAAUACCACUACGCCUUAGUAGCAGUGCCGUUUCUAACUAAAUAAGUAUCAAGGUUAUAAAAUGGUACCUGGUUUUCUUAUUCUUCUCAGCUUCCAGACCAGUAAGAGCACUACAACUUGAAGGAGGGCCAUUGUUGAAAGUAAUGAUCCAAGUAUUGGAACAACAAUGUUCUUCUUGCACUUGCUUGAAUCUGAGCUAAAAAGAACUUAUCAGCAGAUAGAAAAUAUAAAUCUGAAGGACGCAAUACCGUUCGCUUUCGUUAAAGAAAAUGCUAACCUACUCAGCACUCUCCAUGAAUGAAACUUGCACAUAGCAGUACGACGAGGAAACCAGUUGAGAUCUUCACCUCUCUGUCUCAUUGCAGCCUGUGAACUACCUGGUAUUUAAAAUGUGUGACAAUGUCCUGACCAAAAAAACAGAAAAACGUAUAUGACGGUGUGGAUUUGAAACCUCAUGCUGCACAACUUGCAGAGUACAUACAAGAUCCUUAUUACAUGGGGAUGCUUAGUCUACCCCAAUCAAUGGAUCAUGCAAUGUUCAUACUAAGAGAGCAAUUUGGUCAAGCCAACGCAUUUUCUAGUCAAAGCAUUUAAAACAUUGUUCCUAUUAGGGUUAUGUGGUGUGAUACAAGUCAGGGAGACAACCCGAAGUAUUAGACAAAAGUGAUUAAGUCGAGGACAAAAUAGAUGCAUACUUGUAUUUAGCCUACACUGAUUCACUGCACAACAGAUCCCACACCCAUUUUUAACCGACCAAGUUUUGAACAUGGGAUGAAUGAGAGAGUUUGAGGCUACCUAGCAUGGUGCUGUCAUGGAACCUGCAUUUGUGGAAUUUGAACAUCUGGAAAUCACUCUAGGUGAACUCUGGGGUGGUGAGAUCAUAACACGAGUUUCUUCAUUUGAGCCUGGAGUUCUUUCUCGAUGCUUAGACACCUCCAUUCCAUACAUUUUGUUAGUUGGCACAGCACAAAACCAACCAUGGUGGCUCUAUGUUGGGAGGUGGAAGUUGUGCAAGCCAUUGCUGUCUUUAAUGGUUUCCUGACCGAAUUCACAUCGAAAUUUAUAUGAAUCGUUCGAUGCAAAUUAGUUGUUAAAUCACCAUUCUGGAACUCAGGAUUCACCCACUCCACGAUGUGGACAAGAUCAUCACUUUCUAUGAUUGCAGCCUUGCAGGUUAGCCAGUAAAACUCUAAAAUUCAACCCUUGAUAAUUAUAGUACCUACAGACAAUAAAAAGUAAUCAUAAAUAAACCACUCACUGUUCAUACAUUUGUAUUUAUAACAUGAUAAAAAAUCUAAUAGAACAUGGAAAUUUGAACAUACUCGGGAUCAAGAUAACCCGCUCUGCCCAUGACUGAUGUCACCACACUAGUCCCAUUAUCACUCGAAAAAACCACAGACAGACCAAAACCUGCUAUUUUCGCGUCCAAGUUUUUGUUGUACUGUGCUUGCUCUCCUCUCUUAAUGCAAUUCUCAUAUUUGAUUCCCUUCUUAAGUGUAGCUGAAAUACAAAUCCAAUUUAUCUGUGAUUAACAUAUUCUAGAUAACUCGACAUGAUUUUAUUCAAGGAUGAAAGAUUGAAGAAAGAAGGUGCAUAUUGACGAUACAGAUUACCUUACACAAAAUUGGUCUCAGAAAAGUGUAUCUGCACCAUAACACCAUGUGGAACAUGUCUUAGAACAUAUUUGAAUGCACAUUGGAUGUUAAAACAUAUACAGAAUGACCACGGAUUCGUAAACAGUUGCAAAUGUACUUCUAUUUACUCAUAUUUAAGGACUAAAAAGCUUAAUUUCCACAAAAGUCUUAAGUGCUGUUCCAAAAAGAUUGUGAAAGCAAAGAAAUUAAUGUUCUUCCACGAGGCUAGAAAAUGUAUGAUUUUGCAAACUAAAUGCAACUAAGACAAGAGAACAGAACCAAUCACGAAUUACUGUUUCGGGAAAGAAAUCUACACUUGACAGUUGGAAAUGCGAGAAAUCUUGGGCCAGUCAAGCAGGGUGCUUCUUUUAAUUUAGAACACAACAGUAAAAUUUGAACUGGCUUCCCUACUGUCAAUAGAUACUCCAGGUUCCCACAACGGUGAGUAGAUAGAUCAUCGACACAUGAAAGGUUCCGUCAUCACUCUGGUAAGACCCUUCUGAAUCAUCAAGUGCCAUUGUUGAUAGUAAUGAUCCAAGUAUUGGAACAACAAUAUUCUUCUUAAGCUUGCUUGAAUCUGAUCUAAAAAUAACUUAUCAGCAGAUAGAAAAUAUAAAUCUGAAGGACGCAAUGCCAUUCGCUUUUGUUAAAGGAAAUGCUAACCUAUCGGGCACUCUCCAUGAACAAAACUUGCACAGAGCAGUAGGACGAGGAAACCAGUUGAGAUCUUCAUCUCUCUGUCUCAUUGCAGCCUAUGAACUACCAGGUAUUUAAAACGCGUGACAAUGUCCCAACCAAAAAAACAGAAAAAACGUAUAUGAGUGUGGAUUUGUAACCUCAUGCUGCACAAUGAUCCUUAUCACAUGGGGAUGCUUAGUGUACGUCAAUCAAUGGAUAAUGCAAUGUUCAUACUAGAGCAAUUUGGUCAAGUCUAACAUAUUUUCUAGUCAAAGCAUUUCAAACAAUGUUACUGUUAGGGUUAUGUGCUGUGAUACAACCCGAAGUAUUGGACAAAAGUGAUUGAGUUGAGGACAAUAUAGAUACAUACUAGUAUGUAGCCUACACUGAUUCACUGCAUAAAAGAUCCCAAACCCAUUUUUAACCCACCAAGUUUUGAACAUGGGAUGAAUGAGAGUUUGUAGCUCCCUAGCAUGGUGCAGUCAUGGAACCUGCAUUUGUGGAAUCUGAACGUCUGGAAAUCACUCUAGGUGAACUAUGGUAUGGUGAAAUCGUAACACGAGUUUAUUCAUUUGAGCCUGGAGUUCUUUUUGGAUGCCUAGGCACCUCCAUUUCCAAACGUUGUGUUAGUUGACUUGACACGGCACAAAACCCAUGCUGCAGACCAAAAAAAGUAAUCAUAAACCACUAACUGUUCUUACAUUUGUAUUCAUAACAUGAUAAAAAUCUAAAGGAACAAGGAAAUUUGAACAUACUCUGGAUCAAGAUAACCUGCUGUGCCCAUGACUGAUGUCACCACACGAGUCCCAUUAUCACUGGAAAAAACCAUGGACAUACUGAAAUUUGCUAUUUUCGCAUCCAAGUUUUCGUUGCGCUGGGAUCGCCUCCUCUCUUAAUGCAAUUCUCUUACUGGAUUCCCUUCUUAAGUAAGCUGAAAUACAAAUCCAAUUUAUCUGUGAUUAACGUAUUUUACAUAACUUGACAUGAUUUUAUUGGAGGAUGAAAGAUGGAAGAAAGAAGCUCCAUGUUAACUAAACAGAUUACUUUCCAUAAAAUUGGUCUAAUAAAACUGUGUUAGUUGGGUGAACCUGCACAUAGUGAGAUGAAACACAACCCCGUAAAAAAGUGUAUCUGCACGAUAACAAUCAAAUGGAACUAAGACAAGGGAACAGAACAAAUCGUGAAUUACUGUUUCGGGAAAGAAACCUACAUUUGAUUGUCGGAAAUGUGAGAAAUGUUGGGCCAGUGAGGUAGGUUGCAUUUUCUUUUAAUUUAGAACGCAACAGAAAAAAUUGUACCGGCUUCCCCACUGCUGUAGAUGCUUCAGAUUCCCACAGCUGUGAAUAGAUAGAUCGUCCACACACGAAGGGUUCCGUCAUCACUCUGACAAGAGCCUUUUGACUCAUCAAGGGUUCCGUCCACACACGAAGGAUUCCGAUUCUUCACUCAACUAAUAUCCCGUUUACUGCAGAAAACGAGAGUGAGUGAACAAUAUUGGACAAAAUAAAAUAUACAUGGAUAAUUGAUUGGAAAUAAAAAUAAGGGCUCCAAAAAUUAAAAUUACCUCUGAUAACUGGAAUGUGAUAAAUCUUUGGCCAUUCAGGGCCGUCCUUGGCGCAUCUUUCUUUGAGACGGGGACACCAUCGGAUCUGUAGCUUACGUAAUUUGGUUAGGCGUUGCAUAGCUUCGACCGUAGGCAGAUGCAUCAGAUUCUUACAUUUCCAAAUUUCCAACUCUGUAAGAGAUGUAAGGUUGCCCAACCACUCUGGAAGAGCCUCCACACCAUGGAAAUAUUUAAUAGACAAAGAUGUUAGAGAAGUAGAGUGUUGAAUUGGCUGAGGCAGAGACUUGAGCUUAGGCCACCCGUAUAAUAUUAAUUUUUCCGAUGGGACCUGAAGAUCCGGGAAAGAAUCGAGCUCCUUGCAGAACUUACCGAUCCACAACCUUUUCAAACGAGAUAGAGAGUGCAGCCCCUUGGGCAAAUAUUGUAAUUUCCCACAAUUAGACACAGAUAGAGAGGAAAGAGAUUGCAAGCUGGACAAAUUGUGAUCCGCCAGAGAUAUCAAAUUGCGGCAAUCAUCGACAGACAAACUGGUAAGAGACGUGCAGGAUGCAAGCCCACUCGGUAUACUUGUUAAUCGACCGCAUUUCCUAAUCUUCAACUCAGUGAGGAAUGUAAGGUUGUCUAAACUGGGAAUAGCCUCUAGACGAGGGCAAUUAAAGAUACUUAGACCUUCGAGAGAGACGGGGGUUUGUAGCCCAUGACCCGACAAAGUCCUCAAAUUACGACAAUUCCAGAUAAUUAGUGUGCGAAGACUAGUACAAGAUUGGAGCCCAUUCAGUAUACUUUUGAAUCCAUUGCAUUCUUUAAUAAACAAAUAACAGAGGGAUGUGCAACCGUUUAAAGACAAGUCGUCCUCCCCGUCCGCCUCCGGUGAGAAAUCUACCGAGUUCUCGAUUUGCAAAUGACGGAGUGAAGACAGACUGUGAAUUGAAGUGCAUCUUAACUUUGGGCAAAGAGCUAUGUACAACCGUUCAAGAGAUUGGGAUGAUGAAAUUGGAAUGGAUUUUAGAUUGGGGCAAUCCACAAUAUCAAUACUUUGAAGUUUCCGCAAGUGUCCGAGCGGUGGGACCUCCUCACAUUUUUUGCAAUUGGAUAGUUGAAUCUCUGUUAACGAAUCACUCAUCAUACAUGAUGCAAAUUUAGCACCCAUAAAUUUCACAAUCCUCAAGCUUUCUAAAUUGGGGGGCGACUGAAGGCCUUCAAGAAUAUCCUGGUCAAGAAAAUUGCCAUUUCUUUCCGUAUAAUGGCUCCUCUUCCAUUUUAAUUCCAAUUUUCGUAUGUGUGUUUUUCCCACUAAAUUUGAUUUCAUUGCUUCUUUCUUGUCUCUCACAUAUUCCAAUGAUCCAAUAACUAGUUCCCCUUUCACUUCAUUUAGCCCGCCCAGCUCAUCAAUUGUAUGACGCCUUGCUCUAUCCAAAGUAAAGGAACGUAGUGCUUGCAGGUGAGUCAAUUGUGUUAUCCGAAAUGGAAAUUCCUUAUCCUUAUUGAAAUAAACAUGCCUCAAGUUGAUCAAAUUUUCCAUUUCCCUAGGAAACGUUUUAAGAUUGUAUGUUUUUGACAUUCUUAACGUCUGAAGAUUAUAGAGCUUGCCAAUAGAUUUGGGGAGUUCUUUUAUUUAUGUCCUUGAAAUAUUGAGAUACCUCAAGCGUUUCAACUCUCCAAUUGAGAUGGGCAACUCCUCUAUUUCAGCCUUGUAUAAAUUUAACGUCCGUAAAUCUCUAAACCUUUCAAACAUGUUACUGAACUCAAAGCGUCGUGGAGGAAACAACGACCGCAAUCUCGUAACACUCCCUUGUAGAAAUCUUUCAAGUGUGGUGGAAGAAAUCCGGGCAACAUGCUGAAUCUCAAGUGCUCUAUCGUCCAUCCAAUCCAAGUCUCGCGUUAAGCUUUCAAAUUUGAAUACUUCCUCAGCAAGAUCAUGCACAAGAUCAUGCAUCUUGCAUUUGGUAUUCCCAUACUCAUCUUCUCUUUCUCUUCUAUGUGCAUACUCAUAGUUUCUAGCAUCUUGAAAUAAAGAGUUUUGCAAUAGAAUAUUAAAAUGUUCAUUACCUUUAUCCUCCAUGGGAGAAGAAUGGAGAUAUCCUUGAGCCAUCCAGAGCUGGACCAAGUCAUCUUUUUCAAUUUCACAAUCUUUUUCAAACAUUGAGCAAUAUGCAAAACAUUGCUUCAAUGAUGGCUCUCUUAAAUUAUCAAAACUCAACUUCAAGAUCGACAUGAUUUGGUCCUCUCCAUUUGGUAAUUCCCAUAUUUUACUUUCUAGAAUUGACGACCAUUCCUGUGAACGCAUCAAGCUUCCUAAAACCUGUUGAUACAUAAGAUAAUUAGUUUCUAUAUGUUUUAGAAUAUAAAAAGCUGAUCAGCAAAAUAAUAACAGUGCCAAAUUAUAGUUUUAUUGAAUUUUGACUAUAGUUAUUGGCAAUAUAAAAGACGCAUUGAACUCAACUUUGUUUUGUAUCGAUGAAAAGUGAAAGACUGCUCUUGCUAGAAGAGAAAUACUUAAGGGACUUGCUAGCCAAGUAAGAAUUGGUCUCAGAAUUAAUUGAAAGAUACUUUAUUAGAUCAUUUAAAUAUAAGUUUUAAAUUUUUUUUUGAGUACAUCAAUAUAUUUUUACACCAAAAGAUUGGAGAGUUCGGCUAAACCACACAAUGGACAACCUAAUUUGGUAUCGAAUUCGGCAUCCACAAGAUUUGAACCUAAAACCUUUCACUUCUAAAUGAAGAAGAAUAUUAUGAUACUGUAGUACUAAGGGGCUAUAAGUGUCAAUUAGAUACUUAUGAUAACUGAGUAACUGAAUGGUUCGUAACAAUGCACUAGGAAUGUAGUAUUUUGAAGGAGAGCUUUGAUCCACAUUUUCUAGAGCGUUUACAUGUAUAUAUAAGGUUAAGAUUCGGAGACACUCAUUUUUGAAACAUAUUUUAACACAAGUUUUCGUGGCUUUCAUUCUGUAAUUUUUUUUUCAAGGAUCUCAAUCGUUUAUAUUUCAAUUCAUCAUUCAUAGAUCUUUCUUGUAAAAAUUUAGACAAAUCCAAACUCAUUUUGACAUUUAUUGGUAGUGAAGAAAAAAGCCGAUACGAUUCUACAAAGAUACACUAAAUUUAUGCAGUUGCACGAUGAGCACAAAGUGAACUAUUCUUUCGCCUUUUACUAAAGAAACACUGAAUUUGAUCCAAUGGUCAUAUGACUUCAGAUUUGGAUGAUUUUUUGAUAGAGAUGAUAUUUUAGGGAAGACAUAAAAUAUAAGACGGUUAGAUCGUUGAAAUACGUUAAACACACAAUAUAUAUAUACACACACACAGAGCUUAAGGGGAGGGAUCCCCAUUUUUUGGAAAAAAAUGGGGACACGCUCCCCACCGUUAGAUUGACUUUAAUGAAAUUGUGUGAUUGAGAUUGUGUGGCCUGUGUUUUAAUCUCAACCACACAAUUUCAUUAAAGUCAAUCUAAUGGUGAGGAGCGUGUCCCCAUUUUUUUGAAAAAAUGGGGAUCCCUCCCCUUAAGCAAUUCCUAUAUACAUAUAUAUUAUAUAUAUAUAUAUAUAUAUAUAUAUGUAUGUAUAUAUGUAGAUAUAUGUAUAUAUGUAUAUAUAUGUAUAUAGAGAGAGCUUAAGGGGAGGGAUCCUCAUUUUUUGAAAAAAAUGGGGAUUAGGUGUGGGGCCCACUUCACAUCAAAUUUCAACGAUUCGAACCGUCUAUUUUGUUAGUUUCGAUUCAUAGAUCAUCCUUGCAAAAUAUUAGCUAAAUUGGAAAUGUUUAAGACAUCUAAUUGGGUUCAAGGAAAUGAACGAAUACUUUGUUAUAUAAGAAAAUAUGAAAUUUGAUAUUGAUAAUUAAAUAGGCAAAUGGUUUCGGAUUGAAUUGAAUUUUUGCAAGUAUGAUCUAUGAAUCGAGACUAACAAAAUAGACGGUUCGGAUCGUUGAAAUUUGAUGUGAAGUGGGCCCCACACCUAAUCCCCAUUUUUUUCAAAAAAUGGGGAUCCCUCCCCUUAAGCUCUCUGUAUGUAUAUAUAUGUAUAUAUGUAUAUAUAUGUAUAUGAAGGCUUUAAGGGAAGGGAUCCACAUUUUUUUUUAUAUAAAUAGGGAUCUGUUGUGGGGCCAUACCACAUCGAAUUUUAACGAUUCGAACCGUCUAUUUUUCAAAUUGCAUCUCAUAGAUCAUUCUUGCAAAAUAUUAGCCAAAUCGGAAAUAUUUAAGACAUCUAAUUGGGUUCAAAGAAAUUAAUGAAUACUUGUUAUAUAAGAAACAAUGAAAUUUUACCUUGAUAAUUAAAUAGGCUAAUGAUUUCGGAUUGAAUUGAAUUGUUGCAAGAAUGAUCUAUGAAUCGAGACUUUCGAAAUAGACUGUUCGGAUGAAGUUCGAUGUGAAGUGGGCCUAUGGAUUGUUCAAAAAAUGUGUCUCCCAAUCCUAAUCCAUAUAUAUGUUAUAUAAACAAAAUUGACCCUUUAAAGCUCACUAUUAUGUUUUUCAUGCAAUUUUCCUUUAAAAUUGUUGGACAAAAUUAGAUAUACCAAGUUAAGGCUUUUUAUAAUGGCGAUUCUGUUGAAUAUUUAAUCAUACUUAUAUUACUAACAUAUAAUAAUAUUCUUUUUUACCUGUAACUGAAGGGUUUUUAAGUUUUUGACUCAUAUGAAUGGUGAUGACACAUUAUAUUUAUUUGAGUUUGAGUUAGAAAUCUAGAUAAUUGUAUGUUUGACUCUGAAUAAAUAAUUAAAACUUAAAAUUAUGUAAUUGAUGCAUUAUUUAGGAGUUCAAUUAUCUGCUAUUUUUUAGGGAGAAAGAGGCAUAAAUAGUAGUAGUUCGAACAAAAAAACAUAAUUGGACUCACUUAAAAUGUAGCCUAUGAUUUUGGGCCUCUAUCUAAAAACCUUAAUAUAAUAAUAUAUGAAUACAUAUCUUCGCCGCCAAUGGUACACCAGCACACUUUUUAGCUAUGGCCCUUCCAAUGCACUCUUGAUCUGAAUCUAGAGAAGAAGCAUUACCAUCUGGUAAUGCUUCACCCUUUAAUACAGACCAACAAUCCUCCACCGAUAGGCCCUUCAAAUCACACCUCGGCAUUGUCUCAGUGAUUGAUGCAACCUUAGCACUACGGGUAGUAACAAUGGCAAUGCUUCCGGGACCUGAAUUGAGUUUCGACAAACAGUCCAUAAACUCCCUCCAAAAAUUCUUCUCUUCAUUCCAAACAUCAUCAAGUAUCAGAAUAUAUCUCUUGUCUGUCAACCUUUCUUUGAGGUCAUUCAGCAAUGCUUCCCGAGUUGUAAGUCCUGUCCUGUUUGAGUUAAGGGAUUCUAACAUCCGAUUUAGAAUCGAAUUAACCUCAAAAGUGUCGGAUACACACAACCACAUUUUUUCAACAAAAGGCGUACGAAUAGCAUCAUGAUUGAAUAUUGAUUUUGCCAAAGUCGUCUUUCCGAGUCCUCCCAUUCCCACAACGGCCAUAACCGAAAGGUUAUUUUCCUGAUUCUUGGACAUCAAGAUUUUAAUGAUAUCCGACACAAUUUUCUCCCUUCCAAUGAUCUUGUCAUACUGACCGAAGCUCGAGUCAGUUUCUCUGUUCCUCAUAAUUGGAGGAGGGCUAUGAUCUACUGGCCUUACAACUAAGCCAAUGGAAGGUGCCUCACUCUUGAGACCCGCCAGUGACGCAUUGAUGUUCUUAAUCUUUUGUGCCAUCUUUUGACGAAAUAAAAUGGGAUUGGAAAGCGAAAAGAAGUCAAGUACCUUCUUCUUCAUGUGGUUUUGAAUUUCUACUUUACGCCGGAGAACGUCGUAGUUGAUGUCCUCCAAGACGUCAUCGGCAUCGUGAGCUACGUCUUUCAGUUUCUUGACCCAGUUUCUGACUGCCAUGCUCCGAUCCUGUGGUUGGUGGGCAACAUCGCCUAAGUACUGUUCAAUUUCCUCUAACGAUACAGCAAGCUCAGUUGCUUCUUUUUUAAAAUCCUCGGAAAAGACAGAUUUCUUGAGCAGCAAGCGAACCGACCGACUUCAGUAUUCCCUCCACCGGAUAAGUGAUGAGACCUUGUAGCACAUCCAUACUCGCGCGAGAAAGGGAGAUUAGAGAGUAGAAAGCAGAGAACUGAGAGAAAGCCAAGGAAGGACACAAGAAGAGCGAAUAAGAUGAAUGAAAGGCUUAACAAUAAUUCAAGAAAAUGUGGUAUAAGAAGAAAGGACCCCUUAUAAUUGACGCCACUUACCUGUGAGCGUCAACAUAAUGUUCAAGAGCAAUAUUAACCCAUCUUAUCAGCAAAGAUUCUUUCUACAACUUUAGUAAAUAGUGGAGGCGGACUUUGAUUAGUCAAUAUUUAUUGGUCUUCCAUGGAUUUUUGUCAGGACUUAGUACUGGUGACUAUUCAACCCUACCCGGUCCUGUCACUUCAUCUUCUACAUGAUUUCGCGUAGGCAGUGGUAUUUACACAUUUAACUUUACUUUUCAUUCUUAAUUUUACUGAAUGAAUUGAAAAAGAAUAAUUAUACAAAAUUAACAAAAAUGUGUCAGAAAUAAAAAUGAUUGUGUGAAUAAGACUUUCACAUAAAAUGUGUUUUCUUUUACACAAUCGAGCUAGAAACUUGUCUCUUACACAUCGAAUUGACUAUGGUAAACCUAAACCUAACGACAAAAUGCGGUAGCUAUUACGAUCAAACGCUAGGAAUUCGUCUCCAACCCUACACAUAUCUGAUAAAGAGCGAUUAAAUUGGUCUUGGUUUUAGCAGUUUAUACAUACGUCAAAUCCAACGAAAUCAAACCAAACUAAUUAUAGUUUGAUUUAGUUCAACCUAAAAUUGCAUUUUUUUUUCAUUAUAAAAGUCAUACCAAACUUCUUAGAUUGAUUUUUAUACAACGAUAUAUAUACAGAGAUAAAAGUUAAAUCAAAACUUUUUGGAUUGGGGUGUAGUAUAAAUUUGUAUUGAACUCUUCAUUCAUGAAUUUCAAACUUAAGACCUAUUAUUUAUAAGUAAAGAAAAUUAUUGUUAGAUCAUAAUAUUAAAUGACACCCUCUUGGAUGGUUUAGUUUGAACAGUAUUUUCAUACAACGAUAUAUUUACGUUAAAUUGAGAUAAAAUGGACAAGAAUACUCUCCGAAUCUCUAUUUAGGAACUUCCACCACUAUCUCUGAGAGCUUAUUUAAAGAUUUUAAAGAAAUAUUUGGGUCUUUAAAAGAAUAUUGUUUUUUAUGAAAAGUUCUUAUAGUGUAAUCUUCAGAUUAAUAUAAAAACUAAAAUAUUGAAAAAUUAUUAUUCAUGGAUGAAAAAACCUAAAAAAAUAUCUCUACCCUUAGUUUUUCAACAAUUAAAAAAAAAUUACGUGAAAAACCAAAAAUGAAAAUUUCACGUGGGUGGGAAUCGUGGGAUCAACAAACAAGGUAAAAGACAAAAAACCAACUGGUGUGGGUCACUUUUCUCCAAAAUCAACAGAGGCCCACUAUACAAUUUUCACAUUUGAGAUUUUCUUUUGAAGUAUUUAGCGAGUUUUUAUCAAGGAACAAAAUGCCGAUAAUAUCGGUGAUAUUUCGCCGAUAUUAUCGGUUUUUCAGGGUACCGAUAUUUUAAUAGGUAUCCAAUGGGUUUUCGUCAAAAUAUUGCGAUAUUUCCGAAACUAUCGCGAUAUUUUGGAACUGUGCUACUCGGAGAAGAACGCCGGAGCUUCUACAGCUCCGGCCGAUUACAAACGCAAACCUUAGACUCCGAUCUAAUUACCAACGUGAAGAGGAAAGAGAGAGGAGUAAGUUUAUACCCUUGGUUCGCCGUGAAAUGGCUGAAGGUUUUCGGAAAGCUCCUUAACAGUCACGGGUUCGCCGGAGUUGGGUGAGCUUUCCCUUGACCUGAUCUCGUUCCAUAACACACACAUAAGCUUACCUAACUGGAGAAAAUGAAGAAAACUCACCGGAGGUUUCUGGGUUUCGUCAAUCUUGCAGAGACAAGAGGAAGAGAGAGAAAGACGAGGUUUUGAUGGUGAUGCCGUCUACGGAACGAUGGUGUGGGUGCCGUGUACUAGGGUAAUCAUGGGAGAAAGAGUGAGAGUGAUGAGAGGGUUUCGAGAGAGAAGAGAGUGUGCAGAGAAGGAAAGAAAGAGAAGAAGAAAGAAAGGGGGUCUCGGGUAGGAUCUGGUUGAUCUCGGUGACGAUGGUGAUGAAGCCAGAGGAGGAAGAGGAGGAGGGAAGGCGGCGGAGGGAGAAGGAGUAGGAGGAAACGAAGAGGGUUUUGCAGGGGCGGAGAUUGCGAAGAGGGAGAUGAGGGCGAUGAGGAGGAGGAGGGAUCGUUUACUCGUUCUCUCUGUCUUCUCUUCUUUCUCGUUUCAAUUGGCAAUUUAGGGAUUUAAGCAAGUUUUAGGCCCCCAAAUCAUCUACUUAUAUUGCCCUAAAAAACUCCAAGUAAUUACAACAUCGUAUUAGAAUUGUAAUUGAUCCUUGUUAGAUUUGGUUUAGAAAUUCUAUGUAAUUUAGUGAUUGUUUCAUAUUAGGUUUAGAUUUGAAUUUUUUACUCCAUUCAGAUUUUAAAGGAUUAUAAUAGAUUUAAAAAUUUAUGAAUUUUGAUGAAGUUUAAUAAUUUUUAAAACUUUUAUGUAAAAUUUUAAGUGAAUUCCCUCAAAUUUUCAGGGAGCGAUUUGAGAAUGUUUAAAAUAUUAUGUGAAAUAUUUCUAAUUUUUUCGAGUUUCCCAACUUUUUAAAAAUCUCUUCGAAUCAAUUUCUAAAUGAAUACAUUUGGAAUGUAUGAAUAUCUUAAAAAUCAUGAUCGAAUACCCAAAAAACUUUAAAGAAUCACUUAAAAUCCUGAUUAAAUACCCUUAGAUUUUUAAGGAGAAUUAAAAUGUUUAUAAGCCCCAAUUGGAUGUACCGCUUAAUUUAACUAAUUGACACAACACAACAAAACUAGUUAAGAUUACAAAUUAACACAAAAGACGACUUGAUGCGAGGUCAUAUCUAAAAAACUUGCCGCAAUAAGCCCCAAUUGGUGUGUUUAAACUUCUUUCAUUAAUUACUACAUAUUUUCUACACUCACAUGUUUGUCAGCUCGCUAUAUAAUCAACUUGAUAAUGUUAAAUCCAUCAUGCAAUGCAUUUCCUUCCAAUUUUUUGUGAUAAACUAAUAGAUAAUUGACUAAAUAAACAUCCUGCAAAGUUUUUCAAUAAAAAAUUUCCAAGUUUUUCUUACAAUUUUCGUGGUUUCCAUGUAAUUUUUAUCGAUAUCGAUAUUAUCCCGAUAUUUCCAUCGAUUUUCCGUGUUUUCGGACUACCGAUAUUUCCGAUAUUACCGAUAUUUAAUACCUUGGUUUUUAUAUAGGGAGUUUUAACGAAAAACCCACGGUACUGUUCACUUUAACGAAAAACCACAUUUUUACACUAAAAAGUCAAACCUGGUACUAUUCACUUUACCUUUUAUUUUGUCCUUAUCAUUAAAACUCAAAGUUUUCAAGCUUUUUUCAUUAGUUUUCCUUUUUAUAUAUUUGAAUAUUUUUUGACAAAAAAAAUAUUGGAAUAUUUUAAAGACUUUAUUUUCGACUCUUUAAAUACUUUUUGUCUUUAUGUUUAGAGAUUGUACUAUUAUAAAGACUUUGUUUAGAUUCUCUAUUGGAGAUGUUCAAACAUGACAAAAAGGUGAAAGUAGAGCAAGACCACAUAAAUAUAAAUUCAUCUUAUCUGUAAUCUCUUUCGACAACUUUAGAUGAUAGUGUAGACCCAACUUUAACAAAGUAAAUUAAAGAUAUUUAUUAAAAAAUAAUAACAACUUCGUUAGUACAUUCAAAAGUGUAUGUAUGAUAAGAAGAUCCUAAGUAUUCGUUUUUCAGUACUAACGAGAGUCAUCAGAUUGAAAUACCUCCAAGUAAUUGUAAACGAUUCGAAUUCACGGAACAACUAUACAAAUUCAACAUAUGUCAUUUGGUUUCCAAGUUGAUCACUACGUGUAUUUCAAUCAAGGAUGAAAAAAUCGAUAAUAUCGGCGACAUCGUUUUUUUGAAGUUCCGAAAUUUUUUUAACUAUCCAACCUAUUUUCAUCAAAAUAUCGCGAUAUUAUCGAUAAUACCAAUAAUAUCGCGAUAUUAUCGAUAAUACCAAUAAUAUCGCGAUAUUUUCGAAAUUAUCGACAAUAUCGUGAUAUUUUAUUAAAAAAAUACUUAAAUAUGUUGAGAAAACUCAACACAUAGUUAACUUGAUCAUGGCCCAAAGGCCAAACAAGUUUUGGUUAUCUCUCCAGGGAAGUGAGUUUUAUAGCAAAAAUUCAUUUCUCACUUCCUUGCAUGGGCGAUGUGGGACUCGCCCAAUGGGGGAAAAAAUCAAAAUUUCGGCCGAAAUUUUACACUCACUUUAAACGGCCAUAACUUUGUCAAAACUCAACGAAAUCAAGCAAGACAAAAACUAAAGUUGUAGCCCUCGAAGAGACUAAGAGAAUGGUACCUCACACUAUGUCUUAAUCGUAGUGGUUUGGCCGGAAAAUGCCUCGAAAGUCACUGAGGUCGCUGAGGUCGUCGGAAACUGGGUAAGAUUCAAAUGAGUAUAACUUUUUCAAUACGCAACGAAAUUGAGUGAAACAAAAAGGAAAGUUGUAGCCCUCGAAGAGACGAAGAUAAUGGUACCUCACACGAUGUCUGAAUCGUCGUGGUUUGGCCGGAAAAUUCCUCGAAAGUCACUGAGGUCGCUGAGGUCGUCGGAAACUGGGUAAGAUUCAAAUGAGUAUAAUUUUUUCAAUACGCAACGAAAUUGAGUGAAACAAAAAGGAAAGUUGUAGCCCUCGAAGAGACGAAGAGAAUGGUACCUCACACGACGUCUGACUCGUUGUGGUUUGGCCGGAAAUUGCCUCGAAAUCUACUGAGGUCGCCGGAAACUGGGUAAGAUUCAAAUGAGCUUUUUCAAUACGCAACGAAAUUGAGUGAAACAAAAAGGAAAGUUGUAGCCCUCGAAGAGACGAAGAGAUUGAUACCUUGCACGUCAGCCCAAAAUUCAAAUUGACACACUCCUAGCUUCCAAAAUUCAAUACUUUUUACUUUAUAUCAAGUUGAAAAAACAUAAUCGGCAUCCAAAUUAAAGUUUAAUCUUAUUCAAUGUAUUGAUUUUCAAUCGUUAAUUGAUAUACUAUAAUUUGGAACUUCAACGCCUAGACGCAUGCUUAUGUGUAAGAAAUUUAAAUUGUCAAAUUCGGCACAUUAUUCUUCAUCAUUUUAUUCACUUCCCUUUUUUUUUUUUUUAAUAUCCUAAAUAAAACCUCCAAAUAUUGUACUAAUUAAUUAUAUAUAAAUGAUUAUGGUGUGUUUAAACUUCUUUCAUUAAUUACUACAUAUUUUCUACACUCACAAUGUUUGCCAGCUCGGUAUAUAAUCAACUUAAAUCAGUUAAAUCCAUCAUGCAAUGCAUUUCCUUCCAAUUUUUUUGUGAGAAACUAAUAGAUAAUUGACUAAAUAAACAUCCUACAAAGUUUCAUUAAAAAUUUCCAAGUUUUUCUUACAAUUUCCGUGGUUUCCAUGUAAUUUUUAUCGAUAUCGAUAUUAUCCCGAUAUUUCCGUGUUUUCGGACUACCGAUAUUUCCGAUAUUACCGAUAUUUUCUUCCUUGCUUUCAAUAAUAUCUUGUUUAGAAUUUGUUUGGAUUUGCAGAUCCUCCAUCUUCUAACAUAGAGGAAAUUUCUCCAACACUGCCUUCCUUGUAAUUGUUGUAAUGAGAUGCGUUGUUGUUUUCAUGGGGCAGGUCCUAAUGAAUCCUAUAGCUAUUGGACCCCAUCCCACUUGUGUUUGGCAUCGGUGGCACCAUUGUGUUUGGCAAUCAAUGCAAAAUUACGUACAAUAAUUUAAGUAUCAAACAAAAUGUAAACUUCAUUUUGAACAUAUGGAGUAGGGUUUGUUGCAAGUAUAUUAUUGGAGAUCGAAUAAUGACAUGAGACUAAUAAUAAUUUCUGGUGUAAUUUGUUAAUUUUCUGAGUAUUCCACUGACUUUUUGGAAGGCUGGCUGGUGGAGGAAGCUGCUUUUAGCUUUUUAUUACUUCUUGAAACUACCCGCUUCGGAUUUGAAUUUACCAAAAGCAACUUUCAGCUGUUAACUGCAAUUUAUGCAGCUGAUAAGAGAUAUAACCCACUCUACACCUCGUAACGAAAAAAAAAACCCUUCUAUAGACACUUUGAUCACGUCAUCUAUAGAGUUAUUUAGUGUAAGAGCUUUUCUAAUACGUUGAAACUCAUUUUCAAGUGAGAGACAUCAAAUUUGACUCACAUAAAUAGUAAAUUUGAAAACAUUUUUUGUCGAAAAAAAAUAUGUUUGUUACUUAAUUGUUAUAUGUUGGAUGUCGAGUUUCUAUUAGAAAAUAUUUCUUGUAUAUAAAAGGAAAACAAUUUUAAUUUCAUUAUGUACACAUGUCAAUAUCACUGGCAAUUUGACCAAAUGGCUACUAUUUGGUGUUUUAACUGCAAAUGCAUGAAAUCAGUGAGAGAUUUUUCAAUGUGAUCGAUACACAAAAUAAUAUAUCACGUGUCACUAUAUAAAUUUUUAUGUAUGUUAAAAAGUUAAUAACUUAAAAAAUAAAAUUUCUCACAAAUUCUAUAAAAACAUGUGAUGUACCAUUCGUGUUCCGAUCACAAUGAAAAAUUUCUCGAAACCUUCACGCUUGCUUCCUCAAUCACCAACAUUGACCAUUCUCUCUUUCCCAUUAAAAAAAUUAAUAAAUAUGGCGUCAGUCAUACAAAGUCAAGCUUUCUAAACUCUUUUAUGGACAGAUGCGGAUUUUAGGGUUCAAAGCUUAACCAACGGGUAAUUCGGAUCAUUUAACUUGAUUUUAAUAGUACUAAUUAACUCAUUCUGCUGCCUCAUUUUACGCAAUCUAAAGACUUCAACGUCUUUUGGACCUAAAUUUUCUGGUCCUUAGGCUCUGAACCCUAAUGUCAGAAGGGGAACAAAUUCCUCUUUAUUAUCCAUCUGUCAAAUAUUCAACUGUUUGCUUUUAGCUCGUUGUCCUAGUUUCUAUAUUCCUCAUCCUCCUCUAGCUAGCUUUUAGAGUCCGGCAUCCGAAUCACAUGUCCAUGCGGCCCUAGACACAUUAAAGCUUCCCUACUCCAUGUAAUGACUCCACUCCCCUCUCCCUCCACCUUCAUGGCCCAACACCUUUGGGUUUCGGACAAAAUAAUUUAUACAUCUAGAGAGGUUCUUGUGUCUGAAACCCCAGCUAAGUUUAAUAGAGGAGGUGGGAUCAUAAUUUGGUGUAUCGUGGGCCACACAAUCAGGGAGAUAUACUGCUUUUUUAGUGUCCAAGUCAUAGGGAUCAGGUGGAUUGGUUGCUCUAAACUAGAAUUUUAUCCUCAAUUUGACAAAUUAACAAUGGCUAAUUGGCUAUGCCGCUCCCUCUCUAUGUUGUUAAUAGUGUCAAUAUUGUCCCGUUACAUCGAUUGAAGAAAAACCCAUAUCAGGAAUAAUAUGUAUAAACAAAAUAUGAUGCUUUAUUUGAGAAUUUAUUUGAGAAUCAUGGCCUUGGAUGAGUUUACGAUAGAUAAAUACCACAAAGUAUAGAUAGUCAAAAGUUCAAACAUUAUUGACGGAUGGUGAAUGUGAAUGAUAAUUCAAGAGUAGUGAGAAAGAUGAUUGGUAUUUAGUCUUUGGUCACUAUUAUCUUGAAAGUUGAUGACCAAAAUGACAACUGCCUCCCCUUCUUUUGGCUGCAACAGCAGAAAUAGGAUGCUUACAUGGAACCGGCAUUUGUGGAAUAUGAACAUCUGGAAAUUACUCCACUACGUAAGACAAGAUCAUCACUUUCUGUGAUUGCAGGUUGGCCAGUAAAACUCUAAACAUCAAUUUUUUUUCAUUCAACCUUUGAUAAUUAUAGUACCUGCAGACCAAAUAAAGUAAUCAUAGAUCACUCACUGCUCAUAGAUUUGUUUUUUUUUUUUAAAUCAAAAUUCUAAGAACACGAAAUAUGAACAUACUCAGGAUCGAGAUACCCUGCUGUGCUCAUGACCGAAGCCACCACGAGUUUCACUGUCACUGGGAAAAGCCAUGGACAGACCGAGAUCUGCUAUUUUUGCGUCCAAGUUUUCACUUAAGAGAAUGUUGGCAGUAUUUGCGUCUCUAUGCACAAUACGUGGAUUGCACCUUUAUGCAAGGAAAUAGUCCUGUGAGCCAAAUUUCACAAUAUACAUAAGUUGAAUUAGGCAUAUGAACUUGCGCAAGUAUAUUAGCGUACGAAAUAUCACGAAGCACCAACCUAACGCAAUAUCUAGUGUUAUCCGAAGUCUCAUUUCCCAAGUCGCAUGUGACCUUCUAUCUGCAUUUUUAGCCAUUGACGUGACACUUCAAUAUUUUGAAACCCUCUGAUGGAGGACAAUGCUUAUAAAAUAUAGAACUACACACCUGAGAGAUAUUCUUUUAGGUUUCCUUUAGGCAUGUACUCGUAUGUAAUAUGAGUACCAGGUAGUAUCAUCACAGUAUCCAAUAAAUGAGGCCAAGUUUCUAUGAUGUAUUCUCAUCACGAGCUCAACCUGCAGCAACAAGGAACACAUCAAUCUCUAACCAACGAGACAAGGCACUUGCAAUUCCAAGGAAUUUAAAUCCUAACUGCCAAACCUCUGUUUGGAACUCCCUAGCUCCUUGAGUUGACGAUGGAGAAAGUAUUUUAACCGCAACUUGAGUGCCAUCUUCCAAGUAGCCAUGGUAUACAAUCCCAAGUCCUCCUUUCCCAAUUUCAGUUUGAAAGUUUUCGGUGAUUUCUAAAACCUCGUCGUAAGUAAACUGGGACUUCAUUGAUGCUACUGGUGUGCUACAGGUGUUUUGUUAUGUUUUUCUCCAUCUGCAGCUUAAGGACAAAAAGUUAUGAGUGCAGGCUAACUGCAUAGGAAUACCACAACGCCAUAGUAGCAGCGCUGUUUCUAACUAAAUAAGUAUCAAGGGUAUAAAAUGGUACCUGGUUUUCUUAUUCUUCUCAGCUUCCAGACCAGUAAGAGCACUAUAACUUGAAGAAGGGCCAUUGUUGAAAGUAAUGAUCCAAGUAUUGUUCAAAGUAAUGAUCCAAGUAUUGGAACAACAAUGAUCUUCUUGUACUUGCUUGAAUCUGAGCUAAAAAGAACUUAUCAGCAGAUAGAAAAUAUAAAUCUGAAGGACGCAAUACCAUUCGCUUUCGUUAAAGAAAAUGCUAACCUAUUCAGCACUCUCCAUGAACGAAACUUGCACAAAGCAGUAGGACGAGGAAACCAGUUGAGAUCUUCAUCUCUCUGUCUCAUUGCAGCCUAUGAACUACCUGGUAUUUAAAAUGUGUGACAAUGUCCCGACCAAAAAAACAGAAAAACGUAUAUGACAGUGUGGAUUUGUAACCACAUGCCGCACAACUUGCAGAGUACAUACGUGAUCCUUAUUACAUGGGGAUGCUUAGUCUACGUCAAUCAAAACCUUCCCCAGAAAACUAAAUCCCUAAUAUCAGAAUUUCAAAAACCCUAACCCUUGGGAUCCUGCUGACAGCGCUGGGGCUGGGCUGACGGUGCUGGGGUGACGGCAGUGGGGUGAUGGCGGUGUGGCGACGAUGUUGCUCCAAGCGGUGGCGUGGCGACCAGACCGGUGUUCUGGGCUUCUGGGCUUCUGGCGCGCGAGAGAAGAAGAAGCAAGAAGGCAGAAGGCAGAAGGCAGAGGUAGACGAAGGCGAUCGAAUUCGAAGGUAUGGUAUGAAGACUGAAAAUCCUUACCCAAACGGCGUUGUUUUGGGUUUGGAUGGUUUUCAAAAAACAAAAAAAAGGGUAUGACAAGGCGCCUGGACGCCCUGAGGCGCGCCUCCGCCGCCUCGGCGUCUCCGGCGAAGCAUUUCGCCUACUCCAGAAAAACUGAGGCGUUUGCCUCACCGCCCAGCCUCAAAGGCGCCCUAGGCGCGCCUCGAGGCGAGUUCUUUAAAACAUUGCUUAGAACUUAUUCGAAUGCACAUUGGACGUUAUAACAUAUACAGAAUGACCACGGAUUCGUAAACAGUUGCAAAUGUACUUCUAUUUACUCAUAUUUAAGGACCAAAAAGCUUAAUUUCCACAAAAGUCUAAAGUGCUGUUCCAAAAAGAUUGUGAAAGCAAAGAAAUUAAUGUUCUUCCACGAGGCUAGAAAGUGUAUGACUUUGCAAACUAAAUGCAACUAAGACAAAAGAACAGAACCAAUCACGAAUUACUGUUUCGGGAAAGAAACCUACACUUGACUGUAUGAAAUGCGGGAAAUCUUGGGCCAGUCGAGCAGUUGCUUCUUUUAAUUUAGAACACAACAGUAAAAUUUGGACUGGCUUCCCUACUGUCGAUAGAUACUUCAGGUUCCCACAACGGUGAGCAGAUAGAUCAUCGACACAUGUAAGGUCCCAUCAUCACUCUGGUAAGACCCUUCUGAAUCAAGUGCCAUUGUUGAUAGUAAUGAUCCAAGUAUUGGAACAACAAUAUUCUUCUUGAGCUUGCUUGAAUCUGAUUUAAAAAUAACUUAUCAGCAGACAGAAAAUAUAAAUUCUGAAGGACGCAAUGCCAUUCGCUUUCGUUAAAGGAAAUGCUAACCUAUUGGGCACUCUCCAUGAACAAACUUGCAGAGAGCAGUAGGACGAGGAAACCAGUUGAGAUCUUCAUCUCUCUGUCUCAUUGCAGCCUAUGAACUACCAGGUAUUUAAAACACGUGACAAUGUCCCGACCAAAAAAACAGAAAAACGUAUGAGUGUGGACUUGUAACCUCAUGCUGCCUGCACAAUGAUCCUUAUUACAUGGGGAUGCUUAGUGUACGUCAAUCAAUGGAUAAUGCAAUGUUCAUACUAGAGCAAUUUGGUCAAGCCAACGUAUUUUCUAGUCAAAGCAUUUCAAACAAUGUUCCUGUUAGGGUUAUGUGCUGUGAUACAACUCGAAGUAUUGGACAAAAGUGAUUAAGUUGAGGACAAUAUAGAUACAUACUAGUAUGUAGCCUACACUGAUUCACUGCACAACAGAUCCCACACCCAUUUUUAGCCCACCAAGUUUUGAACAUGGGAUGAAUGAGAGUUUGUAGCUACCUAGCAUGGUGCAGUCAUGGAACCUGCAUUUGUGGAAUCUGAACAUCUGGAAAUCACUCUAGGUGUACUAUGGUAUGAUGAAAUCGUACAAAACCCAUGCUGCAGUCAUGGAACCUCCAUUUCCAAACGUUGUGUUAGUUGACACGACACAGCACAAAACCCAUGCUGCAGACCAAAAAAAAGUAAUCAUAAACCAACUGUUCUUACAUUUGUAUUCAUAACAUGAUAAAAAAUCAAAUAGAACAAGGAAAUUUGAACAUACUCUAGAUCAAGAGAACCCGCUGUGCCCAUGACUGAUGUCACCACACAAGUCCCAUUAUCACUGGAAAAAACCAUGGACAUACUGAAAUCUGCUAUUUCCACAUCCAAGUUUUCGUUGCGCUGGGAUUGCCUCCUCUCUUAAUGCAAUUCUCUUACUGGAUUCCCUUCUUAAAUAGGCUGAAAUACAAAUCCAAUUCAUCUGUGAUUAACGUAUUUUACAUAACUUGACGUGCUUUUAUUCGAGGAUGAAAGAUGGAAGAAAGAAGUUACAUAUUAACUAAACAGAUUACCUUCCAUAAAAUUGGUCUAAUAAAACUGUGUUAGUUUGGUGAACAGAUUACCCUGUACAAAAGUGUAUCUGCACCAUAACAAUCAAAUGGACCUAAGACAAGAGAACAGAACAAAUCGUUAAUGACUGUUUCGGGAAAGAAACCUACACUUGACUGUUGGAAAUGUGAGAAAGGUUGCAUUUUCUUUAAAUUUAGAACACCACAGAAAAAAUUGUACUGGCUUCCCCACUGCUGUAGAUGCUUCAGAUUCCCAACAGCUGUGAAAAGAUAGAUCGUCCACACACGAAAGGUUCUGUCAUCACUCUGGCAAGAGCCUUUUGAAUCAUCGAGUGACAAUGAUUCCGAUUCUGACUAAUAUCCCGUUUACUGCAGAAAACUAGAGUGAGUGAACAAUAUUGGACAAAAUAUACAUGAUAAUUGAUUGGAAAUAAAAAUAAGGGCUCAAAAAAUAAAAAUUACCUCGGAUAACUGGAAUGUGAGAAAUCUUUGGCCAUUCUGGGCCGUCCUUGGUGCAUCUUUCCUUGAGACGGGGACACCUUUGGAUCUCUAGCUUAUGUAAUUUGGUUAGGCAUUGCAUAGCUUCGACCGUAGGCAGAUACAUCAGAUUCUCACACCAGGAAAUUUCCAACUCUGUAAGAGAUGUAAGGUUGCCCAACCAUUCUGGAAGAGCCUCCACACCAUCGAAAGCAGAAAUGGACAAAGAUGUUAGAGAAGUAGAGUGUUGAAUUGGCCGAGGCAGAGACUUGAGCUUAGGCCACCUGUACAAUGCUAAUUCUUCCAGUUUCGAUGGGACCUGAAAAUCUGGGAAAGAAUCGAGCUCUUUGCAGAAUAAAUCGAGCUCCUUCCAGUUUUGGUGUGAUACAAGUCAGAGAGACAAUCCGAAGUAUUGGACAAAAGUGAUUAAGUCGAGGAAAUAUAGAUACAAACUAGUAUUUAGCGUACACUGAUUCACUGCACAACAGAUCCCACACCCAUUUUUAACCCACCAAGUUAUGAACAUGGUAUGAAUGAGAGAGUUUGUAGCUACCUAGCAUGGUGCUGUCAUGGAACCUGCAUUUGUGGAAUCUGAACAUCUGGAAAUCACUCUAGGUGAACUAUGGAAUGGUGAAAUCGUAACACAAGUUUCUUCAUUCAAGCCAGUUUCUUCAUUUGAGCCUUGAGUUCUUUCUGGAUGCCUGGACACCUUCAUUUCCAAACAUUGUGUUAGUUGACAUGACACAGCACAAAACCCAUGCUGCAGACCAAAAAAAGUAUUCAUAAACCACUCACUGUUCAUACAUUUGUAUUCAUAACAUGAUAAAAAAAAUCUAAUAGAACAAGGAAAUUUGAAAAUACUAUAGGUCAAGAUAACCCACUGUGCCCAUGACUGAUGUCACCACACGAGUCCCAUUAUCACUGGAAAAAACCAUGGACAUACUGAAAUCUGCUAUUUUCGCGUCCAAGUUUUCAUUGCUCUGGGAUUGCUCUCCUGUCUAACUGCAAUUCUCUUACUGGAUUCCCUUCUUAAGUGAGCUGAAAUACUAAACCAAUUUAUCUGUGAUUAACGUAUUCUAGAUAACUCGACAUGAUUUUAUUCAAGGAUGAAAGAUUGAAGAAAAAAGUUACAUAUUGACUAAACAGAUUACCUUCCACAAAAUUGGUCUCAUAAAACUGUGUUAGUUGAGAGAACCUGCACAGAGUGAGAAGAAACACAGCCUUCUACAAAAGUGUAUCUGCACCAUAACAACCAUGCACAACAAGCCUUAGAACAUAUUCGAAUGCACGUUGAAUGUCGUAAGUUAUACAGAAUGGCCACAGACUUGCAAACACUUGCAAUUUUACUUCUAAUUAGUAAUUACUAAAAGCUUAAUUUCCACAAAAGCCUAAAGUCCUACAACAACAACAACAACAACAAAGCCUUUUCCCACUAAGUGGGGUCGGCUAUAUGAAUCCUAGAACGCCAUUGCGCUCGGUUUUGUGUCAUGUCCUCCGUUAGAUCCAAGUACUCCAAGUCUUUUCUUAGAGUCUCUUCCAAAGUUUUCCUAGGUCUUCCUCUACCCCUUCGGCCCUGAACCUCUGUCCCGUAGUCACAUCUUCGAACUGGAGCGUCAGUCGGCCUUCUUUGCACAUGUCCAAAUCACCGGAGCCGAUUUUCUCUCAUCUUUCCUACAAUUCCGGCUACUCCUACUUUACCUCGGAUAUCCUCAUUCCCAAUCUUAUCCUUUCUCGUGUGCCCAUACAUCCCACGAAGCAUCCUCAUCUCCGCUACACCCAUUUUGUGUACGUGUUGAUGCUUCACCGCCCAACAUUCUGUGCCAUACAACAUCACUGGCCUUAUUGCCGUCCUAUAAAAUUUUCCCUUGAGCUUCAGUGGCCUACGACGGUCACACAACACGCCGGAUGCAUUCUUACACUUCAUCCAUCCAGCUCGUAUUCUAUGGUUGAGAUCUCCAUCUAAUUCUCCGUUCUCUUGCAAGAUAGAUCCUAGGUAGCGAAAACGGUCGCUUUUUGUGAUCUUCGCUAGAUUGCUCCGGUCAUUAGUGUGGAUAAGUAUAUAAAUGGAUAGAGAUAGGAAAGCAAACACAAGAUGUACGGGGUUCACCCAGAUUGGCUACGUCCACGGAAUAGAAGAGUUCUCAUUAAUUGUGAAGGGUUUACACAAGUACAUAGGUUCAAGCUCUCCUUUAGUGAGUACAAGUGAAUGAUUUAGUACAAAUGACAUUAGGAAAUAUUGUGGGAGAAUGAUCUCGUAAUCACGAAACUUCUAAGUAUCGGAGUGUGGUGUCGUCUUGACUUGCCUUAUCUGUCUCAUAGGUAGAUGUGGCAUCUUCUCUGGAAGUACUCUUCCUCUAUCCAAGGGUGGUAUCUUUAACUGGUGGAGAUGCACAAGGUAAUGUAUCAAUUUCACUUGAAGCUUACUUGUAGUUUCAGGCUUGGUCAAGCGCGAUACAAACCAUGUAGUACGAGUCCCCCAAGUCGCCGAGCUAGGGGGUCUGCUGAAAGAGGUGACAGACAAGGUAAGCAAUCAGAGCUCCGACUGAUUGUUCACCUUCUCCCCAUCUUGCAGCAGCAUGAAGGAUAAAGAGAAGAAAAAUGAGAAGAGAUGAUAUGAGAUACUUUUGCUUUUGAAGAAGUAACUUUCCACAGGCUUAUUCUUGAAUUGAGCUGGAGGGUUUUCUGGUUUCCUCCAGAGUAUAAGGCCGACUGAAGAAUUUGAGGGUCAAAACAAGUCCAUCAAAUCUAGAGUACAUUCCACCCUGCUGAUAUGGGAUGCUUUUGCUUUUGACAGAGUAAUGGAUGUAUCGGCACGUGUGCUGUUACGCUUGUCUCCACAUGCUUCCUUGUAUCCUUCGCACUUGCCCUAUCUGUUCCUCAAGUAGAUGCGGAAUCUUCCCUGGAAACAUAAGAUGUUGAAGAUGAGUACUCGAGAGCAAUGCCAGGUAAGUAAUCAGGUAAGGGGUUCCAGGCAGUCAGUUCCUGGCUGGAAGCUUGAUUCCAAGUGCUGACUGAUUGCUCUCUUUCUCCUUGUCUUGCAGGUAAAAACAAGGCCAAAGGAAAAGACAGGGAAAAAGCAUGAUAUGGGAUACUCUUGCUUUUAACCCUGAUGAUAUGAGAUAUUCUUGCUCUAGUAUAGCUUGUUUGCAUAGGUAUUAUCGGGGGGAAGGAAAGCUGAAUAUUUCGAAAGGCUUCGUUGGGAGUGCCCUCUCAGAUAUGAUGAAGGGUUGAGCAUUUUUGCAGGUCUGCCUGUCUGUUGGGGAUGGAGGUCGACAUAUAUAGGAGUCUCCCUAAGAAGUAGUAAUGUUAUUCCUUUACCCUGCUUGGUCAUAGCACGGUAGUGGGAGCGGCCAGUUUCACAUGUUUUAACUCUGUCAGAGCACUUUGAGAAAGUGGUCUGUGGUAUCUGGCUCUCGAGAUUCGGAGAACGAUGCCUCUUCGAUUUUUGAGAAAGCAAUCAUGCUAGGGGUCUGGCUCUCGAGAUUCGGAGAGCGGUGUCUCUUCGAUUUUUGAGAAAGUAAUCAUGUUGGGAGUUUGGCUCUCGAGAUUCGGAGGGCGGCGCCUCUUCGAUUUUGGAGCAAGCAAUCUUGUUGGGAGUGUUGUCUCGAAUGUGAGUAAAGGUUGGGCAUGUUUGUUAGUCUACCUUGCCACGAAGCACAAAGGUUGACACACAGGGAUUUUCCAAUUAUCCAGCAAUGGUACUGUUCCUUUACCCUCUCUUCGAUUUUGAGAAAGUAGUCAUGUUGGGAGUCUGGCUCUCGAGAUUCGGAGGACGGUGUCUCUUCGAUUUUGGAGCAAGCAAUCUUGUUGGGAGUGUUUUCUCGAAUGUGAGUAAAGGUUGGGCAUGUUUGCUAGUCUACCUUGCCACGAAGCACAUAGGUUGACAAACAGGGACUUUCCAAUUAUCCAGCAGUGGUACUGUUCCUUUAUCCUUGUGGGUAAUAAUAUGGUAAUAAUAUGGUAGCUAGACCUUCAAAAUUUAUGUGUCUAAACUUUGUUAGUGCUACUUCUUUGCUAUUCUUUUACCUUUCUUGGUCAGAGCGAUGUAGUGGGAGCUGCAAGCUUCACGUGCUCAACUUUGGCAGAGAACUUUGGCAAAGUUAUCUGUGGUACCCAUGAGCUAUUGUUGCGUGUGGGAAGUGGGUGAUUGAACAGUAAGAUUCAUGUGCUUUCUACUUCACCAGAAGUCUUCGACAGAAUGCCCAUAAUUUCUGCAAAGCUGAGUGUGCGUGUGACAGGUGCUGACAAGGCUAGAAAAGUAGGUGCCUCUUCGAUUUCUGAGAUCGGCCCUCGUGGUCUCUAAGCAGCCCAGCUUUUGAGAAAGCGAGCGCCUCUUCGAUUGAUUCGGAGAACGAUGCCUCAUCGAUUUUUGAGAAAGCAAUCAUGCUGGGGGUCUGGCUCUCGAAGAUUCGGGGAGCAGUGUCUCUUCGAUUUUUGAGAAAGUAAUCAUGUUGGGAGUCUGGCUCUCGAGAUUCGGAGGGCGGUGCCUCUUCGAUUUUGGAGCAAGCAAUCUUGUUGAGAGUGUUUUCUCGAAUGUGAGUAAAGGUUGGGCAUGUUUGCUAGUCUACCUUGCCACGAAGCACAGAGGUUGACACACAGGGACUUUCCAAUUAUCCAGCAGUGGUACUAUUCUUUUACCCUCUCUUCGAUUUUUAAGAAAGUAGUCAUGUUGGGAGUCUGGCUCUCGAGAUUCGGAGGACGGUGCCUCUUCGAUUUUGGAGCAAGCAAUCUUAUUGGGAGUGUUUUCUCGAAUGUGAGUAAAGGUUGGGCAUGUUUGCUAGUCUACUUUGCCACGAAGCACAGAGGUUGACACACAGGGACUUUCCAAUUAUCCAGCAGUGGUACUAUUCCUUGACCCUUGUGGGUAAUAAUAUGGUAGCUAGACCUUCAAAAUUUAUGGGUCUAAACUUUGUUAGUGCUGUUUCUUUGCUAUUCUUUUGCCUUUCUUGGUCAGAGCGAUGUAGUGGGAGCUGCAAGCUUCACGUGCUCUACUUUGGCAGAGAACUUUGGCAAAGUUAUCUGUGGUACCCAUGAGCUAUUGUUGCGUGUGGGAAGUGGGUGAUUGAACAGUAAGAUUCAUGUGCUUUCUACUUCACCAGAAGUCUUCGACAGAAUGCCCAUAAUUUCUGCAAAGCUGAGUGUGCGUGUGACAGGUGCUGACAAGGCUAGAAAAGUAGGUGCCUCUUCGAUUUCUGAGAUCGGCCCUCAUGGUCUCUAAGCAGCCCAGCUUUUGAGAAAGCGAGCGCCUCUUCGAUUGAUUCGGAGAACGAUGCCUCAUCGAUUUUUGAGAAAGCAAUCAUGCUAGGGGUCUGGCUCUCGAAGAUUCGGGGAGCAGUGUCUCUUCGAUUUUUGAGAAAGUAAUCAUGUUGGGAGUCUGGCUCUCGAGAUUCGGAGGGCGGUGCCUCUUCGAUUUUGGAGCAAGCAAUCUUGUUGAGAGUGUUUUCUCGAAUGUGAGUAAAGGUUGGGCAUGUUUGCUAGUCUACCUUGCCACGAAGCACAGAGGUUGACACACAGGGACUUUCCAAUUAUCCAGCAAUGGUACUGUUCCUUUACCCUCUCUUCGAUUUUUAAGAAAGUAGUCAUGUUGGGAGUCUGGCUCUCGAGAUUCGGAGGACGGUGCCUCUUCGAUUUUGGAGCAAGCAAUUUUAUUGGGAGUGUUUUCUCGAAUGUGAGUAAAGGUUGGGCAUGUUUGCUAGUCUACCUUGCCACGAAGCACAAAGGUUGACACACAGGGACUUUCCAAUUAUCCAGCAGUGGUACUAUUCCUUUACCCUUGUGGGUAAUAAUAUGGUAGCUAGACCUUCAAAAUUUAUGGGUCUAAACUUUGUUAGUGCUGUUUCUUUGCUAUUCUUUUACCCUUCUUGGUCAGAGCGAUGUAGUGGGAGCUGCAAGCUUCACGUGCUCAACUUUGGCAGAGAACUUUGGCAAAGUUAUCUGUGGUACCCAUGAGCUAUUGUUGCGUGUGGGAAGUGGGUGAUUGAACAGUAAGAUUCAUGUGUUUUCUACUUCCCCAGAAGUCUUCGACAGAAUGCCCAUAAUUUCCGCAAAGCUGAGUGUGCGUGUGAUAGGUGCUGACAAGGUUGGAAAAGUAGGUGCCUCUUCGAUUUCUGAGAUCGGCCCUCGUGGUCUCUGGGGAGCCCAGCUUUUGAGAAAGCGAGCGCCUCUUCGAUUUCUGAGAUCAGCCUUCGAGGUCUUUGAGCAGCCCAACUUUUGAGAAAGCAAACGCUUAUUCGAUUUCUGAGAUCAACCCUCGUGAUCUCUAAGCAGCCCAGCUUUUGAGAAAGCAAACGCCUCUUCGAUUUCUGAGCAGGCGCCUCUUCGAUUUCUGAAGCUCCGUCGAGUGCAGAUUUUUAUAGGGGCUGGCAUUAAGUUCCAAAGCACACUUGAAUCUCCACCAGUAGAAGCUUCAUUCUUGCACUUCUAAGAUCUUGAUUUGUCCGACCUCUUCUCUCUUCAACACCUUUGAAAAUGUCUGGCCCCUCCGACCGUCAUUUUGACUUGAACCUUGUUCAAGAGGCAGCCCCGCCUUCUCCAGACAACAUAUGGCGCCCAUCCUUCGUCUCCCCUACUGGUCCUCUUACCGUUGGGGAUUCCGUGAUGAAGAAUGAUGACCGCUGCGGUGGUGGCCAGGAACCUUCUCACUCCCAAAGAUAACAGACUACUUUCCAAACGGUCUGAUGAGUUAGCUGUUAAGGAUUCGCUGGCUCUCAGUGUUCAGUGUGCAGGUUAUGUGUCUAAUAUGGCCCAACGCCUAUUUGCUCGAACCCGCCAAGUUGAAUCAUUGGCGGCUGAAGUGAUGAGUCUCAAACAGGAGAUUAGAGGGCUCAAGCAUGAGAAUAAACAGUUGCACCGGCUCGCACAUGACUAUGCUACAAACAUGAAGAGGAAGCUUGACCAGAUGAAGGAAACUGAUGGUCAGGUUUUACUUGAUCAUCAGAGAUUUGUGGGUUUGUUCCAAAGGCAUUUAUUGCCUUCGUCUUCUGGGGCUGUACCGCGUAAUGAAGCUCCAAAUGAUCAACCUCUGAUGCCUCCUCCUUCUAGGGUUCUGUCCAGUACUGAGGCUCCAAAUGAUCCCCAUCCGGUGCCUGCUCUUUCUGGGGCUCUACCGACUGCUGAGACUUCUCCUAAGCAACCUUUGUGAAAGCUCCCUCUUGUGUGUUUAUUUUGACUCAUGUAUAUGUACAUAUUUAUAGUUUAUCGGAGAUAUCAAUAAAUAAGCUUUCCUUCAUUUCAACGUAUUGUGUUAAAUACACCAAAGCCUUCUUCGCUAAGUUCUUUGAAUUUUCUUUUGUUGAAGCUUGUAUGUUGAAGCUUUCUGAGUGGAGCAUGUAGGUUGGGGUAGUGUUCCCUUAAUUUUCCGAGUGAGGAAAACUUCUCGGUUGGAGACUUGGAAAAUCCAAGUCACUGAGUGGGAUCGGCUAUAUGAAUCUUAGAACGCCAUUGUGUUGGAUCCUGUGUCAUGUCCUUCGUUAGAUCCAAGUACUCUAAGUCUUUUCUUAGAGUCUCUUCCAAAGUUUUCCUAGGUCUUCCUCUACCCCUUCGGCCCUGAACCUCUGUCCCAUAGUCGCAUCUUCUAAUCGGAGCAUCAGUAGGCCUUCUGUGCACAUGUCCAAACCACCGUAACCGAUUUUCUCUCAUCUUUCCUUCAAUUUCGGCUACUCCUACUUUACCCCGGAUAUCCUCAUUCCUAAUCUUAUCCUUUCUCGUGUGCCCACACAUCCAACGAAGCAUCCUCAUCUCCGCUACACCCAUUUUGUGUACGUGUUGAUGUUUCACCGCCCAACAUUCUGUGCCAUACAGCAUCGCCGGCCUUAUUGUCGUCCUAUAAAAUUUUCCCUUGAGCUUCAGUGGCAUACGGCGGUCACAUAACACGCCGGAUGCACUCUUCCACUUCAUCCAUCCAGCUUGUAUUCUAUGGUUGAGAUCUCCAUCUAAUUCUCUGUUCUUUUGCAAGAUAGAUCCUAGGUAACGAAAACGGUCGCUCUUUGGUAUUUCUUGAUCUCCGAUCCUCACCCCUAACUCGUUUUGGCCUCCAUUUGCACUGAACUUGCACUCCAUAUAUUCUGUCUUUGAUCGGCUUAGGCGAAGACCUUUAGAUUCCAACACUUCUCUCCAAAGGUUAAGCUUUGCAUUUACCCCUUCCUGAGUUUCAUCUAUCAACACUAUAUCGUCUGCGAACAGCAUACACCAAGGAAUAUCAUCUUGAAUAUGUCCUGUUAACUCAUCCAUUACCAACGCAAAAAGGUAAGGACUUAAGGAUGAGCCUUGAUGUAAUCCUACAGUUAUGGGAAAGCUUUCGGUUUGUCCUUCAUGAGUUCUUACGGCAGUCUUUGCUCCUUCAUACAUAUCCUUUAUAGCUUGGAUAUAUGCUACUCGUACUCCUUUCUUCUCUAAAAUCCUCCAAAUAAUGUCUCUUGGGACCCUAUCAUACGCUUUUUCCAAAUCUAUAAAGACCAUGUGUAAAUCCUUUUUCCCAUCUCUAUAUCUUUCCAUCAAUCUUCGUAAGAGAUAGAUUGCCUCCAUGGUUGAGCGCCCUGGCAUGAACCCGAAUUGGUUGUCCGAAAUCCGUGUCUCUUGCCUCAAUCUAUGCUCAAUGACUCUCUCCCAGAGCUUCAUUGUAUGACUCAUUAGCUUAAUACCCUUAUAGUUCAUGCAAUUUUGUACGUCGCCCUUAUUCUUGUAGAUAGGCACCAAAGUGCUCGUUCGCCACUCAUUUGACAUCUUCUUCGUUUUCAAAAUCCUAUUGAAAAGGUCAGUGAGCCAUGUUAUACCUGUCUCUCCCAAAAGUUUCCACACUUCGAUUGGUAUAUCGUCUGGGCCUAUUGUUUUUUUAUGCUUCAUCUUCUUCAAAGCUACAACCACUUCUUCCUUCCGGAUUCGACGAUAAAAAGAGUAGUUUCUACACUCUUCUGAGUUACUCAACUCCCCUAAAGAAGCACUCAUUUCAUGUCCUUCAUUGAAGAGAUUAUGAAAAUAACCUCUCCAUCUGUCUUUAACCGCGUUCUCUGUAGCAAGAACCUUUCCAUCCUCAUCCUUGAUGCACCUCACUUGGUUUAGGUCCCUUGUCUUCUUUUCCCUUGCUCUAGAUAGUUUAUAGAUAUCCAACUCUCCUUCUUUGGUAUCUAGUCGUUUAUACAUAUCGUCGUAAGCCGCUAACUUAGCUUCUCUGACAGCUUUCUUCGCCUCUUGCUUCGCUUUUCUAUACCUUUCACCAUUUUCAUCGGUCAUCUCCUUGUAUAAGGCUUUACAACAUUCCUUCUUAGCCUUCACCUUUGUUUGUACCUCCUCAUUCCACCACCAAGAUUCCUUUUGGUGUGGGGCAAAGCCCUUGGACUCUCCUAAUACCUCUUUUGCUACUUUUCGGAUACAACUAGCCAUGGAAUCCCACAUUUGGCUAGCUUCCCCCUCUCUAUCCCACACACAUUGGGUGAUUACCUUCUCUUUGAAAAAUGGCUUGUUUUUCUUCUUUUAGAUUCCACCAUCUAGUCCUUGGGCACUUCCAAGUCUUGUUCUUUUGUCUUACUCUUUUGAUAUGUACAUCCAUCACCAACAAGCGAUGUUGAUUAGCCACGCUCUCUCCUGGUAUAACUUUGCAAUCCUUACAAGUUAUACGAUCCCCUUUCCUCAUUAGAAGAAAAUCUAUUUGUGUUUUUGACGACCCACUCUUGUAGGUGAUCACAUGUUCUUCUCUCUUCUUAAAGAAGGUGUUGGCUAAGAAGAGAUCAUAUGCCAUUGCAAAAUCCAAGAUAGCUUCCCCAUCCUCGUUUCUCUCCCCAAAACCAUGGCCACCAUGAAAACCUCCAUAGUUGCCUGUCUCCCUGCCCACGUGUCCAUUUAAAUCUCCUCCUAUAAAUAACUUCUCCGUCUGAGCAAUUCCUUGCACCAAGUCUCCAAGAUCUUCCCAAAAUUUCUCCUUCGAACUCGUAUCCAACCCUACUUGAGGUGCGUACGCACUAAUCACAUUGAUAAGUUCUUGUCCUAUUACAAUCUUGAUUGCCAUGAUUCUAUCUCCUACCCUCUUGACAUCUACAACAUCUUGUACCAAGGUCUUGUCCACGAUGAUGCCAACACCGUUUCUCGUUCUAUUUGUGCCCGAAUACCAAAGUUUAAACCCUGAGUUUUCUAGAUCCUUUGCCUUACUACCAACCCACUUAGUUUCUUGUAGGCACAUAAUAUUUAUCCUUCUCCUCACCAUCCUUACUACCAACCCACUUAGUUUCUUGUAGGCACAUAAUAUUUAUCCUUCUCCUCACCAUAACUUCCACUACUUCCAUAGAUUUUCCCGUUAAGGUUCCUAUAUUCCACGUUCCUAAACGCAUUUUGCUCUCUUGAACUCUACCCUUCUGUCCUAGCUUCUUCAGGGUCUGGGAGAGGUGAAUGUCGGCUAGCCUUACCCCCAUUUUAUGGAGAGCCUGCUCCCAAGUCUCGAACCCGAGACCUACCGCUCAUGGGCGAAGGCACUUGCCAUCGCACCAAGUGCGACCAGAGUGAGUAAACAAUAUUGAACCAAAUACACAUGAAUAAUUGAUUGGAGAUAAAAAUAAAAAUUACCUCUGAUAUCUGGAAUAUGAUAAAUCUUUGGCCAUUCUGGGCCACUGUUCUUGGCGCAUCUUUCUGCCAGACGUUGGUGAUUGGUAUUUAGUCUUUGGUUACUAUUAUCUUUAGUAAAUGGAGUAGACUUGUACUUGAAAGUUGAUGACCAAAUUGACAACUGCCUCCUCUUCAUUUGGCUGCAAUGAAAUCCUAACUAGCUACCCAGCAAAUGGUGUUGUCAUGGAACCUGCAUUUGUGGAAUAUGAACAUCUGGAAUUCACUCAAGGUGAAUUAUGGUAUGGUGAAAUCGUAACAUGAGUUUCUUCAUUUGAGCCUGGAGUUCCUUCUCGAUGCCUAGACACCUCCAUUUCCAGAAAUUGUGUUAGUUGGCACAUCACAAAACUCAUGGUGGCUCUAUGUUGGGAGGUAUGCAAAGCUGCCUCUGAUGCUUUCCAGACCGAAUUCACAUUGAACUCUCCUCGAAGCCCUUGAUCCAAAAUAGUUGUUCAAUUCCCGUUCUGGAACUCAAGAUUCACCUACUCCACUAUGUGGACAAGAUCAUCAUUUUCUAUGAUUGCAGGUUGGCUAGUAAAACCCUAAACAUCAAUUUUUUUUUUCCUUCAACCUUGCUAAUUAUAGUAUCUGCAGACCAAAUAAAGUAAUCAUAGAUCACUCACUGCUCAUAGAAUUCACAUUGAACUCUCCUCGAAGCCUUUGAUCCUAAAUAGUUGUUCAAUUCCCGUUCUGGAACUCAAGAUUCACCCGCUCCACUAUGUGGACAAGAUCAUCAUUUUCUAUGAUUGCAGGUUGGCCAGUAAAACCCUAAACAUCAAUUUUUUUUUCCUUCAACCUUGCUAAUUAUAGUAUCUGCAGACCAAAUAAAGUAAUCAAAGAUCACUCACUGCUCAUAGAUUUUUUUUUUUUUUUAACAUGAUCAAAAUUCUAAGAACAGUAGAACACGAAAUCUGAACAUGCUCGGAAUCAAGAUACCUUGCUGUGCCCAUGAACGAUGCCACCAGAGUCUCAUUGUCACUGGGAAAAACCAUGGACAGACCAAAAUCUGCUAUUUUGCAUCCAAGUUUUAAUUCAGGAGAAUGUUGGCAGUCUUUACAUCUCUAUGCACAAUACUGGAUUGUGAAUAUAUAGUAGCACAAAAAAUAACACUAAGCACCUAUCUAACGCAAUAUCUAAUGCCAUCCAAAGUCUCAUUUCCCAAGUUUAUGUGAGCUCCUAUCUGCUUCUGCAACCAUUAACGUGACACUUCAAUAUUUUGAAACCCUCUGUUGGAGGACAAUGCUAUGUAAAAUAUAGAAUUACAUACCUGAUCAGAGAUAUUCUUUUAGGUUUUCAUUAGGCAUGUACUUGUAUAUAAGUGCCAACUUGUCAGUAUCACACAGUAUCCAAUAAACGAGGCCAAGUUUCUAUGAUGGAUUCUCAUCGGGAGCUCAACCUGCAGCCACAAGGAACUCAUCAAUCUCUAACCAAAGAGACAAGGCAUUUAACUUGCAUCCAAGGAAUUAAAUUCAAACUGUCAAACCUCUGUUUGGAACUCCCUAGCUGAGCUAGCUCCUUGAGAUGACGAUGUAGAACCACAACUUGAGUGCCAUAUUUCAACUAGCCAUGGUAUACAAUCCCAAAUCCUCCUUUCCCGAUUUCCGUUUUAAAGAUUUCGGUGAUUUCUAAAACCUCGUCAUAAGUGAACUAGGACUUCUGAUGCUACAGGAGUUUUGUUACGUGUUUCUCCAUCUGCAGCUCAAGUAGACAAAAAGAUAUGAGUUCAGACUAACUGGUUAGGAAUACCACUACACCAUAGUAGGAGCGCCGGUUCUAAUUGAAUUAAGUAUCAAAAAGAUAUGAGUUCAGACUAACUGGUUAGGAAUACCACAACACCAUUUGCUUUGGUUAAAGAAAAUGCUAACCUAUUCGGUGCUCUCCAUGAAUGAAACUUGCACAGAGCAGUAGGACAAGGAAAUCAAUUGAGAUCAUCUUCUCUCUUUGUCUCACUGCAGCCUAUGAACUACCUGGUAUUUAUUAUGCGUGACAAUGUUCUGACCAAAAAAGCAGAAAAACGUAUAUGACAGUGUGGAUUUGUACCUUAUGCUGCACAACUUUACAUGAAAUCAUUCUAGGUGAAAUCGUAAUAUGAGUUUCUUCAUUUUAGACUGGAGUUCUUUGUUGAUGCGUAGACACCUCUAUUCCAUACAUUGUGUUAGUUGGCACAGCACAAAACCCAUGGUGGCUCUAUGUUGGCAGGUGAUAGUUGUGCAUGCCAUUGCUG
rnacentral:lncRNA from 1 species